rnacentral:tRNA from 1 species
GCCCCCGUAGCUCAGGUGGAUAGAGCGCCGGUUUCCUAAACCGUAGGUCGUAUGUUCGAGUCAUACCGGGGGCACCA